rnacentral:rRNA from 1 species
AUUGAACGCUGGCGGCAGGCCUAACACAUGCAAGUCGAACGAGUGGCGGACGGGUGAGUAAUGUCUGGGAAACUGCCUGAUGGAGGGGGAUAACUACUGGAAACGGUAGCUAAUACCGCAUACCAUCAGAUGUGCCCAGAUGGGAUUAGCUUGUGGGUGGGGUAACGGCUCACCAAGGCGACGAUCCCUAGCUGGUCUGAGAGGAUGACCAGCCACACGGGAACUGGGCAGCGGUCCAGACGCCUACGGUAGUCAGAAGUGGGGACUAAUGCACAAUGGGCGCAAGCCUGAUGCAGCCAUGCCGCGUGUAUGAAGAAGGCCUGCGGGUUGUAAAGUACUUUCAGCGGGGAAGCGUUACCCGCAGAAGAAGCACCGGCUAACUCCGUGCCAGCAGCCGCGGUAAUUC